rnacentral:rRNA from 1 species
UCCUACGGGUGGCAGCAGUGAGGAAUAUUGCACAAUGGGGGAAACCCUGAUGCAGCAACGCCGCGUGAAGGAUGAAGGUCUUCGGAUUGUAAACUUCUUUUCUGUGGGAAGAGGAAGGACGGUACCACAGGAAUAAGACACGGCUAACUACGUGCCAGCAGCCGCGGUAAUACGUAGGUGUCAAGCGUUAUCCGGAAUUACUGGGCGUAAAGGGCGCGCAGGCGGCUUAGCAGGUUCGACGUGAAAUCUCUCGGCUUAACUGGGAGAGGCCGUUGGAGACUGCUGGGCUUGAGGUAGUGAGAGGGAGGCGGAAUUCCCGGUGUAGUGGUGGAAUGCGUAGAUAUCGGGAAGAACACCAGUGGCGAAAGCGGCCUUCUGGCACUAAUCUGACGCUGAGGUGCGAAAGCGUGGGGAGCGAACGGGAUUAGAUACCCCAGUAGUCUCA